rnacentral:rRNA from 1 species
CGAAGGGGGCUAGCGUUGUUCGGAAUUACUGGGCGUAAAGCGAACGUAGGCGGUGUUCCAUGUCAGAGGUGAAAGCCUGGGGCUCAACUCCAGAAUUGCCUUUGAAACGGGGACGCUUGAGUCCGAGAGAGGAUGGCGGAAUUCCUAGUGUAGAGGUGAAAUUCGUAGAUAUUAGGAAGAACACCAGUGGCGAAGGCGGCCAUCUGGCUCGGUACUGACGCUCAGGUUCGAAAGCGUGGGGAGCAAACAGGAUUAGAUACCCUGGUAGUCCACGCCGUAAACGAUGAGUGCUAGUUGUUGGGAAGUUUACUUCUCAGUGACGAAGCUAACGCGAUAAGCACUCCGCCUGGGGAGUACGGCCGCAAGGUUA